AGUGAGGUAAUUUAAUAAAAAUUUUAUCUUGCAAAGAUAGCUAUGUCCUUUAAGGGCUUUCACUU
rnacentral:tRNA from 1 species